UACAAAAUUUUUAUUAAAAUGUUUCUUACAUACCGUUAUAUUGGCUGGGCUGCAAAAAUAUUUGUUGUGGGCCAAAUGCGGCCCAUGGGCCGCGAGUCUGACAUGCGUGCGGGACUGUUUAUC